CUGCCCCGGGUGCGUCGCAGCCCCGGACCAAGGCGCCCGCCGGAGGACCAACCAAAACUCUUUUUGUAUACCCCCUCGCGGGUUUUUUAUAAUCUGAGCCUUCUCGGCGCCUCUCGUAGGCGUUUCGAAAAUGAAUCAAAACUUUCAACAACGGAUCUCUUGGUUCUGGCAUCGAUGAAGAACGCAGCGAAAUGCGAUAAGUAAUGUGAAUUGCAGAAUUCAGUGAAUCAUCGAAUCUUUGAACGCACAUUGCGCCCGCCAGUAUUCUGGCGGGCAUGCCUGUCCGAGCGUCAUUUCAACCCUCGAACCCCUCCGGGGGGUCGGCGUUGGGGAUCGGCCCUGCCUCUUGGCGGUGGCCGUCUCCGAAAUACAGUGGCGGUCUCGCCGCAGCCUCUCCUGCGCAGUAGUUUGCACACUCGCAUCGGGAGCGCGGCGCGUCCACAGCCGUUAAACACCCAACUUCUGAAAUGUUGACCUCGGAUCAGGUAGGAAUACCCGCUGAACUUAAGCAUAUCAAUAAGCGGAGGA
rnacentral:rRNA from 1 species